UUUUCUUCCUUCAAUCCAACUUUGUAUUCAAUUGGCUAGCAAAGCCUGGAUCCUAUGUGAUCUAACCU